rnacentral:rRNA from 1 species
AUUGAACGCUGGCGGCAGGCCUGACACAUGCAAGUCGAACGGUAACAGGAAACAGCUUGCUGUUUCGCUGACGAGUGGCGGACGGGUGAGUAAUGUCUGGGAAACUGCCUGAUGGAGGGGGAUAACUACUGGAAACGGUAGCUAAUACCGCAUAACGUCGCAAGACCAAAGAGGGGGACCUUCGGGCCUCUUGCCAUCGGAUGUGCCCAGAUGGGAUUAGCUAGUAGGUGGGGUAACGGCUCACCUAGGCGACGAUCCCUAGCUGGUCUGAGAGGAUGACCAGCCACACUGGAACUGAGACACGGUCCAGACUCCUACGGGAGGCAGCAGUGGGGAAUAUUGCACAAUGGGCGCAAGCCUGAUGCAGCCAUGCCGCGUGUAUGAAGAAGGCCUUCGGGUUGUAAAGUACUUUCAGCGGGGAGGAAGGGAGUAAAGUUAAUACCUUUGCUCAUUGACGUUACCCGCAGAAGAAGCACCGGCUAACUCCGUGCCAGCAGCCGCGGUAAUACGGAGGGUGCAAGCGUUAAUCGGAAUUACUGGGCGUAAAGCGCACGCAGGCGGUUUGUUAAGUCAGAUGUGAAAUCCCCGGGCUCAACCUGGGAACUGCAUCUGAUACUGGCAAGCUUGAGUCUCGUAGAGGGGGGUAGAAUUCCAGGUGUAGCGGUGAAAUGCGUAGAGAUCUGGAGGAAUACCGGUGGCGAAGGCGGCCCCCUGGACGAAGACUGACGCUCAGGUGCGAAAGCGUGGGGAGCAGACAGGAUUAGAUACCCUGGUAGUCCACGCCGUAAACGAUGUCGACUUGGAGGUUGUGCCCUUGAGGCGUGGCUUCCGGAGCUAACGCGUUAAGUCGACCGCCUGGGGAGUACGGCCGCAAGGUUAAAACUCAAAUGAAUUGACGGGGGCCCGCACAAGCGGUGGAGCAUGUGGUUUAAUUCGAUGCAACGCGAAGAACCUUACCUGGUCUUGACAUCCACGGAAGUUUUCAGAGAUGAGAAUGUGCCUUCGGGAACCGUGAGACAGGUGCUGCAUGGCUGUCGUCAGCUCGUGUUGUGAAAUGUUGGGUUAAGUCCCGCAACGAGCGCAACCCUUAUCCUUUGUUGCCAGCGGUCCGGCCGGGAACUCAAAGGAGACUGCCAGUGAUAAACUGGAGGAAGGUGGGGAUGACGUCAAGUCAUCAUGGCCCUUACGACCAGGGCUACACACGUGCUACAAUGGCGCAUACAAAGAGAAGCGACCUCGCGAGAGCAAGCGGACCUCAUAAAGUGCGUCGUAGUCCGGAUUGGAGUCUGCAACUCGACUCCAUGAAGUCGGAAUCGCUAGUAAUCGUGGAUCAGAAUGCCACGGUGAAUACGUUCACGGGCCUUGUACACACCGCCCGUCACACCAUGGGAGUGGGUUGCAAAAGAAGUAGGUAGCUUAACCUUCGGGAGGGCGCUUACCACUUUGUGAUUCAUGACUGGGGUGAAGU